UACAGAGGUCCCGAGCGUUGUUCGGAUUCACUGGGCGUAAAGGGUGCGUAGGCGGUCGGGUAAGUCUGAUGUGAAAUCUCACAGCUUAACUGUGAAACUGCAUUGGAUACUAUUCGGCUUGAGAGUUGGAGGGGGGACUGGAAUUCUCGGUGUAGCAGUGAAAUGCGUAGAUAUCGAGAGGAACACCAGUGGCGAAGGCGAGUCCCUGGACAACUCCUGACACUGAGGCACGAAAGCUAGGGGAGCAAACAGG
rnacentral:rRNA from 1 species